AUAGCCCGAUGAAAGUUGGAUUAAUACCGCAUAUAGCUAUAUAGUUGCAUGAUUAUGUAGUGAAAGAUUUAUUGGUAUAGGAGGAGUCUGCGGCACAUUAGCUAGUAGGUGAGGUAAAGGCUUACCUAGGCGACGAUGUGUAGCCGGUCUGAGAGGAUGAACGGCCACAAUGGAACUGAGACACGGUCCAUACUCCUACGGGAGGCAGCAGUGGGGAAUAUUGCACAAUGGGGGAAACCCUGAUGCAGCAACGCCGCGUGAGUGAAGAAGGUUUUCGGAUUGUAAAGCUCUGUUAGCAGGGAAGAGGAAGGACGGUACCUGCAGAGGAAGCCACGGCUAACUACGUGCCAGCAGCCGCGGUAAUACGUAGGUGGCAAGCGUUGUUCGGAAUAACUGGGCGUAAAGGAUGCGUAGGCGGUUAAACAAGUUAUAUGUUAAAUAUAUAGGCUUAACCUGUAGAAAGCAUAUAAAACUGUUUAACUAGAGUGCAGGAGAGGUAAGUGGAAUUCCUAGUGUAGCGGUGAAAUGCGUAGAGAUUAGGAAGAACACCAGUGGCGAAGGCGACUUACUGGACUGUAACUGACGCUGAGGCAUGAGAGCAUGGGGAGCAAACAGGAUUAGAUACCCUGGUAGUCCAUGCUGUAAACGAUGGAUAGUAGGUGUGGGUUGUGAAUAACAAUUCGUG
rnacentral:rRNA from 1 species